GGGGAAUAUUGCACAAUGGGGGAAACCCUGAUGCAGCGACGCCGCGUGAGCGAAGAAGUAUCUCGGUAUGUAAAGCUCUAUCAGCAGGGAAGAAAAAAAUGACGGUACCUGACUAAGAANCCCCGGCUAACUACGUGCCAGCAGCCGCGGUAAUACGUAGGGGGCAAGCGUUAUCCGGAUUUACUGGGUGUAAAGGGAGCGUAGACGGCAAGGCAAGUCUGGAGUGAAAGCCCGGGGCCCAACCCCGGGACUGCUCUGGAAACUGUGGUGCUAGAGUGCAGGAGGGGUGGGCGGAAUUCCUAGUGUAGCGGUGAAAUGCGUAGAUAUUAGGAGGAACACCAGCGGCGAAGGCGGCCCACUGGACUGCGACUGACGUUGAGGCUCGAAGGCGUGGGGAGCAAACAGG
rnacentral:rRNA from 1 species